rnacentral:lncRNA from 1 species
CCGCCCCUUGUCAGUUAUUACUCCAUCCGUGAUCGGCCACUUCCCUUCUUUUACGGGCCACUUUAAGCCGAUCAAAACCGCAUGUAACCACUUGCAGUUACGCCUUGCGAUUACUCAAAUAUUUUGCCAAUACUCCCGAUGCACCAAAAUUUCCUUUAAUCUCUGUUCCUAAAGAUUUGGGUUGAACAUGCCAUGUGGCUGCACAUUAUUGGCCGAACAUAUAAUAUUAGGACUUUUGUACGGACAAUAUAUGAAAGUUGAAUUUUGUAGGAAUAUAUUUAUAAUUCACUCUGUUUGUAAGAACCUGUAUGCAAUUAACCUUAUAUAUAUAUAUAUAUAUA